AUUUUACCGAAUAUUCGAACAUCAAUUUGCAAAGUACCCAGCUAGCACAAUAGCAGCAUCGAGUAUAGCCGCUUCAAUGAGUGAGCUAAAAUGGCAUCUUCGCACAGGCCAUAAUCUUCCCUUUUUAUUAGGUCUACUUACGGACUUAACCAGCAUCGAACAAGUUCAACUGCAAGAGUGUAUGUUGCAUAUGGAGAACAUUUUUGAAGAGCACAGUCGCAACCUGCAGCCGUUUUUUGUUGACAUUCAACCUCCUAACUCUGCAAAAAUGUACUGCCAGAGACGUAAUCAGACUCAUCCAAACCAGCAAUAUCAUCAGCAGCGCCCGCAACGCAUGAGGCAAAUGCCAAUACCCUCCCUAACAUUUACUACUGCUGACACCAA